GAUGAACGCUAGCGGCAGGCUUAAUACAUGCAAGUCGAGGGGCAGCAUGAAUGUAGCAAUACAUUUGAUGGCGACCGGCAAACGGGUGCGGAACACGUACACAACCUUCCUAUAAGUGGGGAAUAGCCCAGAGAAAUUUGGAUUAAUACCCCGUAACAUAAUGAUGUGGCAUCACAUUAUUAUUAUAGCUUCGGCGCUUAUUGAUGGGUGUGCGGCUGAUUAGAUAGUUGGCGGGGUAACGGCCCACCAAGUCUACGAUCAGUAGCUGAUGUGAGAGCAUGAUCAGCCACACGAGCACUGAGACACGGGCCCGACUCCUACGGGAGGCAGCAGUAAGGAAUAUUGGUCAAUGGACGCAAGUCUGAACCAGCCAUGCCGCGUGAAGGAUUAAGGUCCUCUGGAUUGUAAACUUCUUUUAUCUGGGACGAAAAAAGACUAUUCUUAGUCACUUGACGGUACCAGAUGAAUAAGCACCGGCUAACUCCGUGCCAGCAGCCGCGGUAACAC
rnacentral:rRNA from 1 species